CGCAGGCAUUUAAUCAUCUCGCAUCAUCACAUGGAAGAAGGGACUGCAUGGGAUCUCUAAUACCCAGAGCAUUAUAGAUGUUAUAGAAUUUUCUCAGUGCAAGACUCUUCACACACACGAAUGUGAAGUUUGUGGAAGAUGUGCAACAUGUUUAAGAUGAACAUUUACUAACUGAGACCUAAACCCACGCAUGCCAUUCUCAGUAUUUCUAAGAAACUAACCCUUGCCAAGGAAAACAAGCAGUAAGAAGACCUACUGGCACUUCAGACACUUAAGAACCUACAUAGGCUGGGCACGGUGGUUCACGCCUGUAUCCAGCACUUUGGGAGACUGAGGUGGGUGGAUCACCUGAGGUCAGGAGUUUGAGACCAGCCUGGCCAACAUGGUGAAACGCCGUCUCUACCAAAAAUAUAAAAAUCAGCUGGGCGUGGUGGCAGGUGCCUAUAAUCCCAGCUCCUCAGGA
rnacentral:lncRNA from 1 species